UAAAGUGGUGGUGUAUGGGACAUAGCUAGUACAUAACCAAUAUGGUGCUGACUUCAUGACAGCAAUGGUUGCCUCCCAUUUGAAUGUAGUGCAGUUUGAAGCAGUCAGUAAAUCUUGAUGAGGGACAUUAAUCACUUGUUCUUUGCUAUCUCCAAGUUUCAUGUAUACAGAUAAUAAUCUUCACAUCCCAAUAGAUGAUCUCUGCUUACAGUGCUUGAACAACUGAAAU
rnacentral:lncRNA from 1 species